rnacentral:rRNA from 1 species
AUGAACGCUGGCGGCGUGCCUAAUCCAUGCCAGUCGAGCGAACAGAUAAGGAGCUUGCUCCUUUGACGUUAGCGGCGGACGGGUGAGUAACACGUGGGUAACCUACCUAUAAGACUGGGAUAACUUCGGGAAACCGGAGCUAAUACCGGAUAACAUUUGGAACCGCAUGGUUCUAAAGUGAAAGAUGGUUUUGCUAUCACUUAUAGAUGGACCCGCGCCGUAUUAGCUAGUUGGUAAGGUAACGGCUUACCAAGGCAACGAUACGUAGCCGACCUGAGAGGGUGAUCGGCCACACUGGAACUGAGACACGGUCCAGACUCCUACGGGAGGCAGCAGUAGGGAAUCUUCCGCAAUGGGCGAAAGCCUGACGGAGCAACGCCGCGUGAGUGAUGAAGGGUUUCGGCUCGUAAAACUCUGUUAUUAGGGAAGAACAAACGUGUAAGUAACUGUGCACGUCUUGACGGUACCUAAUCAGAAAGCCACGGCUAACUACGUG